rnacentral:rRNA from 1 species
ACCNGAGUACUAUGAAUAUUAAAAAUUUAAAACUCAAAGAACUUGGCGGUGUUUUAGACCACUUAGGGGAAUCUGUCUCAUAAUCGAUAAUCCACGAUAUACCUGACCUUUUUUUGUUUUCAGUUUGUAUACCGUUGUCGUCAGGUAACUUUUUAGAAACUAGAAGUUAGCAACAGAAAUUAAAGAUAGUUCAAUACGUCAAAUCAAGGUGCAGCUAAUAAAAAGGGGGGGAUGGGUUACAAUUAUAGAAUUAUAAUUACGGAUAUAUAUAUGAAAUUGUAUUAAUGUAAGGUGGACUUAAAAGUAAAUUAGAAUAUAUAGAUAAUUUGAAUAAGGCUCUGAAACGUGU